CUCGGGCCGCUUUUAUUCUUCCUCCCUUUUUCGUUCUCCUCCUCCUUCUUCUUCUUCUUCUUCUUCGAUCGGAGAAUGCGCUCGAUCUGGGUUUUCUGAUCUUGGUUCGGAUUCUGGAUAAGCGAUUAAAGGAGAGAUGGGUUCUCGGGAUGAGAAGGGCAACGACGAGCAGUGGAAGGGGAGGGAGCGCGCGACUAGGGCUCGGCGCGUCGCUCUCUUCGGAUUUGUCGGGGUCACCGCCACUGGCCUCGUGUGGAGGGGGAUGAAUUCGAUAUAAAAAGAACACGAUCGUUUUGCUAGAAA